CGCGCCGCCGCGAUACCCAGGUCGCCGGCCUGCCGACCGGCGUCGAGCAAAACGCGCGCGAGACCAGGCGCGGCACUUCCUGGUUUUCCGCUUCCCCGUAGUGGCCCUGCAGAUCCGUCCCCGUGCGCACCCAACCACCGUGACCUCGCGCCCGGAGGUCAUGGCCGUGCGGGAGGAGCCCUACAGCGGCGUCGCCGGCGCCGUGAUGCCCAACAGCAGGUGCUGCUGGAGGUAGCCGGAGGAGGGAUCCGGGAUUGAUGGCCGUUCCGCUGGAUGUAGCGGUACAACGCAGCACGUGAGACCAAUUCCUCAAUCUCCUGCCCAUGUUUGUAGCUGGAUUUUUUUCAAGGGAGAAGAAAUGCAUCUCCUUUUAACGCUUUGGUUGCACAUGGGUUCAAAUCAGCUGUAUGAAAAACAUCUGUGCAUAUAUACUUUGAGAAAUUCAGAAUGGGCAUUUAGAUGCUAUGGUCUGCUGCUGAUUAGUACUAUUACCCAUGUAAUUUCUGUUGUUAGCGUUUCACAAAAAAAAAAUUCUGUUGUUAUAGCGAGCAACAGGGAUUUGUAGCUGCAGGUGAGACCAAUUCCUUGAUGUAACUACAUGGAUUUGUAGCCGCAGGAAAAAAAAGUGAAGUAGAAUCGCAAAUAGUUGGCACGUUUGGUUGCACGUUGAUGCAAAUCAGUUCUGUGUGAACCUUCUUUACAUGUAUAGUUUGAGCAAUUUAGAGAGGACAGUUAGUUGCUAUGGUCUGUUCUGGUUAGUGUAUUAAUCAUGCAAUUUUCGGUAUGUUCAGAUUUAAUUAAUGUCUAUGCAUGGGUUAAAGCCCAUCCACCUGUAGCUCUUGUAAUUGCUUUGACACUGUUCAGUUAAAGAAAGUUGAGAAUUCAUCAGCAUCCAUGUGUUUGUCAGAAAAUUAUCAUGCUGGAGAGUGACCUUUAAAAUGAAUGGAUCUUACUGUUUAUGCGUGUGCAUGCAACUCUGCGAGGGUGAAAAUCAGUGUAUUGCAUAGCAGCUGUCAAUGUUGAAUUUACAUGGAUUUAUGUGCCUGUGCUGCUGUUUAUCUCGAAAGCUGCAUUUGUAGCUUCCUUGUGCUGCUGUUACCAUCUGUUCAUGUCAAAUAUACCAUGAUAUACGUGUUUGCUUCGCUGACCAUGCUUUGUUCUUGUUCGAGGAUCACUGGGAGGACUGAAGGACAGCGGUGGGCUUGUUCUUUGACUCCAUGUUGUGUUUAGGGAAGGAUUUGGCCAGCAGCGAAGCGACUCGAUGAUGGGGACUGAGUUGUUUUCGUUGCAGACCCUCUGUCUGCCCCGUUACAAGACGACCGGCAAAGAUGAGCUCGCCUUGCAUCCCGGG